rnacentral:rRNA from 1 species
UACGUAGGGUGCAAGCGUUAAUCGGAAUUACUGGGCGUAAAGCGUGCGCAGGCGGUUAUGCAAGACAGAUGUGAAAUCCCCGGGCUUAACCUGGGAACCGUAUUUGUGACUGCAUAGCUGGAGUACGGCAGAGGGGGAUGGAAUUCCGCGUGUAGCAGUGAAAUGCGUAGAUAUGCGGAGGAACACCGAUGGCGAAGGCAGUCCCCUGGGCCUGUACUGACGCUCAUGCACGAAAGCGUGGGGAGCAAACAGG